rnacentral:rRNA from 1 species
UACAUAGGGUGCGAGCGUUAUCGGAUUUAUUGGGCGUAAAGAGCUCGUAGGCGGUUCAACAAGUCGGGUGUUAAACCCCCAGGCUCAACCUGGGGCCGCCACUCGAAACUGUUGUGACUAGAGUUUGGUAGGGGAUCACGGAAUUCCUGGUGUAGCGGUGGAAUGCGCAGAUAUCAGGAGGAACACCAGUAGCGAAGGCGGUGAUCUGGGCCAAUACUGACGCUGAGGAGCGAAAGCGUGGGGAGCGAACAGGAUUAGAUACCCUGGUAGUCCACGCCGUAAACGGUGGGCACUAGGUGUGGGGACUUUUCAACGGUUUCCGCGCCGCAGCUAACGCAUUAAGUGCCCCGCCUGGGGAGUACGGUCGCAAGACUAAAACUCAAAGAAAUUGACGGGGGCCCGCACAAGCAGCGGAGCAUGUGGCUUAAUUCGAUGCAACGCGAAAAACCUUACCUAGAUUUGACAUGCUGGGAAAAGCCACAGAGAUGUGGUGUCCUUCGGGGCCCAGCACAGGUGGUGCAUGGCUGUCGUCAGCUCGUGUCGUGAGAUGUUGGGUUAAGUCCCGCAACGAGCGCAACCCUUGUUCUAUGUUGCCAGCACGUAAUGGUGGGGACUCGUAGAAGACUGCCGGGGUCAACUCGGAGGAAGGUGGGGACGACGUCAAGUCAUCAUGCCCCUUACGUCUAGGGCUGCACACAUGCUACAAUGGGCGGUACAGAGGGCUGCUAAACCGCGAGGUGGAGCCAAUCCCUAAAACCGCUCUCAGUUCAGAUUGCAGGCUGCAACUCGCCUGCAUGAAGUUGGAGUUGCUAGUAAUCCCGGAUCAGCACUGCCGGGGUGAAUACGUUC